rnacentral:rRNA from 1 species
GCGCAGCAGGCGAGAAACUUCACAAUGUGCGAAAGCACGAUGAGGGAAUCCCAAGUGCUUGCACGUAAGUGUAAGCUGUUUCUCUGUCUAAAACGCAGAGAGAGUAAGGGCUGGGUAAGACGGGUGCCAGCCGCCGCGGUAAUACCUGCAGCUCGAGUGGUGACCGUUAUUAUUGGGGCCUAAAACGUCCGUAGCCGGUUUAAUAAAUGCCUGGGUAAAUCGGACCGCUUAACGGUUCGAAUUCCGGGUAGACUGUUAAACUUGAGACCGGGAGAAGUUAGAGGUACUCCUGGGGUAGAGGUGAAAUUCUGUAAUCCUAGGGGGACCACCAGUGGCGAAGGCGUCUAACUAGAACGGGUCUGACGGUGAGGGACGAAGCCCUGGGGCGCAAAC